AUUGAACGCUGGCGGCAGGCCUAACACAUGCAAGUCGAGCGGUAGAGAGAAGCUUGCUUCUCUUGAGAGCGGCGGACGGGUGAGUAAUGCCUAGGAAUCUGCCUGGUAGUGGGGGAUAACGUUCGGAAACGGACGCUAAUACCGCAUACGUCCUACGGGAGAAAGCAGGGGACCUUCGGGCCUUGCGCUAUCAGAUGAGCCUAGGUCGGAUUAGCUAGUUGGUGGGGUAAUGGCUCACCAAGGCGACGAUCCGUAACUGGUCUGAGAGGAUGAUCAGUCACACUGGAACUGAGACACGGUCCAGACUCCUACGGGAGGCAGCAGUGGGGAAUAUUGGACAAUGGGCGAAAGCCUGAUCCAGCCAUGCCGCGUGUGUGAAGAAGGUCUUCGGAUUGUAAAGCACUUUAAGUUGGGAGGAAGGGCCAUUACCUAAUACGUGAUGGUUUUGACGUACCGACAG
rnacentral:rRNA from 1 species